GAUGAACGCUGGCGGCGUGCCUAAUACAUGCAAGUCGAGCGAACGGACGAGAAGCUUGCUUCUCUGAUGUUAGCGGCGGACGGGUGAGUAACACGUGGAUAACCUACCUAUAAGACUGGGAUAACUUCGGGAAACCGUAGCUAAUACCGGAUAAUAUUUUGAACCGCAUGGUUCAAAAGUGAAAGACGGUCCUGCUGUCACUUAUAGAUGGAUCCGCGCUGCAUUAGCUAGUUGGUAAGGUAACGGCUUACCAAGGCAACGAUGCAUAGCCGACCUGAGAGGGUGAUCGGCCACACUGGAACUGAGGCACGGUCCAGACUCCUACGGGAGGCAGCAGUAGGGAAUCUUCCGCAAUGGGCGAAAGCCUGACGGAGCAACGCCGCGUGAGUGAUGAAGGUCUUCGGAUCGUAAAACUCUGUUAUUAGGGAAGAACAUAUGUGUAAGUAACUGUGCACAUCUUGACGGUACCUAAUCAGAAAGCCACGGCUAACUACGUG
rnacentral:rRNA from 1 species